rnacentral:lncRNA from 1 species
GUCAGCUUGAUUUUCAUUGUACAAGGUACCGCGUGAGCUCAUGGUUCCAAGAGAUCCUAUAGAAUAAACACUUAAACAGGUAAAGUGUGCAAGGGAAAUCACUUAGUAAUAGAAAAAGAACUCUAAAGAAAUAUGAAACUGUUCGAUUGUAAAUGAAUUAGACUGUCCUGCUUAAAUGCCAAAUGGGUCAAAUUGCUUAAAACAGUCCCAAAGAACUUAAAAAGUAUUAGACUGCAUGAAACAGUAUUGGUUUUUUUUAUGCACUCAGCUAUAUACCUUUUAUACAAUAACAUCUUUUUUCACACCAUGAAAGCCGAUUUACAAGCUACACUGAUAGGAAAUAAAAGGGAAGGCUGAAAGAUCUUGAACGAAUUAUAUCUUAUUUACACUACACAUCCUAUUAAUUAUGAACUAUUUUGAACUAAAUCAGCAAGCAAGGAUGUCAGGGAAUGAAAAGGUAAAUGCAAAUCCCUAUGAUCAAAGCUGAAUCCACUUAAUUUCAUUAUAAACUGUGUUUAAUAAAAUAAAUUUUAUGCUUUCUCUUUUAAUAUAUAUAAAGCCUGCCGAUAACAACACUGAUUGCGCCAAAAUGUUAUCUAUUGAUAUACUUAACAUUCACAUGUCUAAGAUUGUAAGUCUAUGUUUCUGUCUUUCUUCGAUCAUUGAGGUGUUAGAAUAGCUCCUCACAGUAUGUCAAUUACUAUCAAUAUGAGCACAUAUUCAAAUAUAUCUUACAAAAUUUAGGUUACUUAUUCAUUGUCCAUGGUGGCCUAGAAUAUACAUCCCUAAAGUUAUAUGAGAUAAGUAAUAACCCCUCGUAAACUGUUAUGCUUAACUUUAUGCACAAAUAAUAUAAUUCUUAAUAAACAGCUCCAUUAUACCUUUAAAAUCAAUUGCAAGCAAACGAGGCGUAUAUGUGUCAAUACCCUGCAAUCCAUAAGCAAAUACAAGUGUAGACAAAAGAAUCACAACCUACGAAGGAAUAAUGACAAACACAAAGGCAAAGCGUAGACGCGUGCUAGCAUAAUUUAUUACUUUUCAGAUAUUAUACUGAAUGUUUUAAAUUAUUCCAAAUUGAUUUCUUGUCAAUGAAAUAUGCAAUCUACAUGAAUUGAUGGUGAACCCAACAAAAGUAGACUAAAAUUAUAAACCCUAUUCAACUGUAAACACAAUGAUAAGUGAUAACCUUAGCGCAUCUAAGAUUAUAUAUCAAAUCAUAUAUAAAAAGCAUUCACUAAUUUAGCAACAAAAAAAGAAAAAAAGCAUUCACUUAUUCCAUUAACUCAAAGUUUAAGAUAUAUUUGCGUGCAUCCUAAACCUAAAAUGCCCAACCAAUUUUUUGUACUUAUCUCUUCCACAAAUAUGUCACAGCAUGGCAGAAUAUAAUGCAUUAUAAUCAAAUUGCCAAUAUACUCUCGUAGCAGCCAAAGAUAUAGUUUUAGAUCCUAUACAAAAAAGAAUCAUCAAAAGUGGGUUUCACAUGCAAAUCUACAAGAUACAUCCUUCAUAUGCCAGAGCAUUUAUUGUGUUAAUAAGUACAAUAUCAAAACUUGUACCUGUUGUGUUUCACCGGUCCGGUAGAGUACAUCCAUAUCGAUGCAUUGAUCCUUGAAGGCAGAAUCAGCCUGGGAAUUCUCAGCUAAUCCAAGCAAUUCAUCCUACAACAAAGAGGAUGCUUGUAAAUUGGCAAUUUGCAAACAAGAAAUACAAUGCUCAUAUCAGUAGACAAUAAUAGUACUCCCCCUGUCCCUCCCAUUUCUUACCAAAUGGGUUGGGCACGGAGGUUAAGAAAUAUGUAUAAAGUAGUGGAAAAGAGAAAGAAAAUUGGGUGAAGUGGUGGGACCCAUUGAUUUUUAAAUGUAUAAAAAGAAGAUAGUGGAGUAGAAGUAGUGUGAAAAGGAAAGAAAAGUGGAGAAGUGGUGGGACCCAUUCACUAUUUUUGGUAAGUUUUGAAAUGUAAAGAAUUGGAUGGGACACCCCAAAAGGGAAAGUGUAAAGAAAUAGAAGGGACGGAGGGAGUACUAUAUAAACAUGCACAUGACUUCUACAAUAUGUGCUUAUAUAUUCAAGAUAAAAUUGCUGCAUGAUCAAAUAUAUUUGCAUAUUUUCGUAACUUCUCAAGAUUUAUUUCACAGGUUAGGAAUUAUUUGAAAAACUCCACAGAAAUAGCCUCUUUACUCCUUAGAAUAGGGGGUGUUGGCACGAGACAUAGAUCCGAUCCCUUAUGAGUAUCGGCCAACUCACUACAAGUAUAGGAAGUAUAUAAAAAACUCACGACAAUUAGGUGACUUGCUCCUGAAAAUAAAGAGUACUGACUUAAAAAAAAUUCUACGUGAGAAAGGUAGCAGAUCCUAAUAGGACUACAUAGACUUAAUUCUUUACAAAUAUAGAAAUAUGUAAGCACCUUGAGCAGAAUGGAACACUCUAAGAAAUCUAGAGAAUAAGCUCUCAAGCUUAAUAUAAAAACCCCUAACAUCCCCCAUAAACAUCCCUCGAUAUCUCAAAAAUGAAACGGAAAAAAUUCAUGCUACAAGGAGAGUUGUGAACUUACACUUGAAUCAGGCUGUUAACUUCGGACAUAGUGACAUGCCUGUGUACAUAAAUUAAAUAUUGGCGUGCAUGGUAGGGAUUUGGAGUACCAUAAAAGGGUGACAGAAGCAAACAAUAAAAGAAAUUUUAACAAGAGCUCCAUGACAACAAAGAGAAUAAACAUCCAGAGCUAAAAUGUUCAAGGACAUCCAGAGCUUAAUAAGAGUGAAAGGAAGCGUCUAUGCUGAGUUCUGGACUGCAAAAAGUUGUCUGCAGAAGCCUGCACACAUGCAGCACCAAACGAAUUACUCCCGCUUCGCGUAGUAAUUUAAGUUUUUUUCUUUGAGCAAGCUCAAGCUGCUGUUGCUACAAGCCAAACAACCAAUAUCCCAGGCAAUAUCAAGGCACUUCUAGCAGCACAUGACGUACCAAUGAGGCCUCUCGAGCCAUCAGUUAGUGGCAAAAAUUUGCACCAGUGGAGCGUCUCAGGCCUUAAGACGCCAAGUUCUAGUAUCUACUGGUGACAAACAUGUUUACUUGCUCGUUUAAUUCCUGUACUCAAAAGAAUUGUUCUUUUUUUAUUUUGUAAUUAGUUUGUUGCAGCAACACAAUCAUUCUUUAGCAUUUGUGUGACAUAUGGAGUAUCUGAUUUUGCUUAUUCUAUAUACUCUAUGAUAUUUUGUAUUAAUUUGAAAAUAAUAUAACUUGAUACCCGAUUCCUGAAUAUUGUAAACCAAAUACUAGGUAUCGGAAUCAUUUUCUUUCAAAAAUUUAACCGAACACAUGGGAUGAGGAAUGAUAUCCUAAACCCAUAAACUGGUUCCAAGAGAUCCUAUAGAAUAAACACUUAAACAGGUAAAGUGUGCAAGGGAAAUCACUUAGUAAUAGAAAAAGAACUCUAAAGAAAUAUGAAACUGUUCGAUUGUAAAUGAAUUAGACUGUCCUGCUUAAAUGCCAAAUGGGUCAAAUUGCUUAAAACAGUCCCAAAGAACUUAAAAAGUAUUAGACUGCAUGAAACAGUAUUGGUUUUUUUUAUGCACUCAGCUAUAUACCUUUUAUACAAUAACAUCUUUUUUCACACCAUGAAAGCCGAUUUACAAGCUACACUGAUAGGAAAUAAAAGGGAAGGCUGAAAGAUCUUGAACGAAUUAUAUCUUAUUUACAC